rnacentral:tRNA from 1 species
GACGCCGUGGUGUAGCGGGAACACGCCGGUCUUUCAUGCCGGAGAACGCGGGUUCGAAUCCCGUCGGCGUCA